AUCCUGGCUCAGAUUGAACGCUGGCGGCAUGCCUUACACAUGCAAGUCGAACGGCAGCACGGGUGCUUGCACCUGGUGGCGAGUGGCGAACGGGUGAGUAAUACAUCGGAACAUGUCCUGUAGUGGGGGAUAGCCCGGCGAAAGCCGGAUUAAUACCGCAUACGAUCUACGGAUGAAAGCGGGGGACCUUCGGGCCUCGCGCUAUAGGGUUGGCCGAUGGCUGAUUAGCUAGUUGGUGGGGUAAAGGCCUACCAAGGCGACGAUCAGUAGCUGGUCUGAGAGGACGACCAGCCACACUGGGACUGAGACACGGCCCAGACUCCUACGGGAGGCAGCAGUGGGGAAUUUUGGACAAUGGGCGAAAGCCUGAUCCAGCAAUGCCGCGUGUGUGAAGAAGGCCUUCGGGUUGUAAAGCACUUUUGUCCGGAAAGAAAUCCUUGGUUCUAAUAUAGCCGGGGGAUGACGGUACCGGAAGAAUAAGCACCGGCUAACUACGUGCCAGCAGCCGCGGUAAUACGUAGGGUGCAAGCGUUAAUCGGAAUUACUGGGCGUAAAGCGUGCGCAGGCGGUUUGCUAAGACCGAUGUGAAAUCCCCGGGCUCAACCUGGGAACUGCAUUGGUGACUGGCAAGCUAGAGUAUGGCAGAGGGGGGUAGAAUUCCACGUGUAGCAGUGAAAUGCGUAGAGAUGUGGAGGAAUACCGAUGGCG
rnacentral:rRNA from 1 species